AUACACACUGAUGUGUGUGGCUCAUUUGAUGUACAUAUUAGGGGUGGUUAUCUCUGUUAAGGAUUUUAUAGGUUGGCGGAUUUCGUAAUGUUGAAUGGAGUCUUUAUGAGUUGAUUGCGGAAGAUUGAAGAAAAGAUCUAAAUUGAAGGAAAAAGACUCACUCGUAAAGUUCGGCACCUAAGGUAUGAGGAAAAGAUCAUUUGUGGUGAAGAUAUUUGAUUAGAAUAAGUUCAGAAGGCUUAGAUUG
rnacentral:lncRNA from 1 species